rnacentral:rRNA from 1 species
AUGUGGUGCUUUGUAUAUAGUGGAUAUACCUGUUCCCAUCCCGAACACAGAAGUCAAGCAUUAUGUAACCGACAAUAGGAUAGUAUCUGAAGAUAGGUUGUGCCACAUC